AUUGAACGCUGGCGGCAGGCAUAACACAUGCAAGUCGAACGAGUGGCGGACGGGUGGAUAAUGGAUGGGAAACUGCCUGAUGGAGGGGGAUAACGACGGGAAACGGUAGCUAAUACCGCAUACCAUCGGAUGUGCCGAGAUGGGAUUAGCUAGUGGGUGGGGUAAAGGCUCACCAAGACGCAGAUCCAUAGCUGGUCUGAGAGGAUGACCAGCCACAUGGGAACUGAGACACGGUCCAGACUCCGACGGGAGGCAGCAGUGGGGAAUAUUGCACAAUGGGCGCAAGCCUGAUCCAGCCAUGCCGCGUGUAUGAAGAAGGCCUUCGGGUUGUAAAGUACUUUCGGCGGGGAGGCGUUACCCGCAGAAGAAGCACCGGCUAACUCCGUGCCAGCAGCCGCGGUAAUAC
rnacentral:rRNA from 1 species